rnacentral:rRNA from 1 species
CAGCAGCCGCGGGAAUACAGAGGGUGCGAGCGUUAAUCGGAUUUACUGGGCGUAAAGCGUGCGUAGGCGGCUUUUUAAGUCGGAUGUGAAAUCCCCGAGCUUAACUUGGGAAUUGCAUUCGAUACUGGUUAGCUAGAGUGUGGGAGAGGAUGGUAGAAUUCCAGGUGUAGCGGUGAAAUGCGUAGAGAUCUGGAGGAAUACCGAUGGCGAAGGCAGCCAUCUGGCCUAACACUGACGCUGAGGUACGAAAGCAUGGGGAGCAAACAGGAUUAGAUACCCCGGUAGUCCCUGUCUCUUAUAC